rnacentral:rRNA from 1 species
CAGUAGCCGCGGUAAUUCGUAGGUGGCAAGCGUUAUCCGGAAUUAUUGGGCGUAAAGCGCGCGUAGGUGGUUUUUUAAGUCUGAUGUGAAAGCCCACGACUCAACCGUGGAGGGUCAUUGGAAACUGGAAAACUUGAGUGCAGAAGAGGAAAGUGGAACUCCAUGUGUAGCGGUGAAAUGCGCAGAGAUAUGGAGGAACACCAGUGGCGAAGGCGACUUUCUGGUCUGUAACUGACGCUGAUGUGCGAAAGCGUGGGGAUCAAACAGGAUUAGAGACCCCGGUAGUCCCUGUCUCUUAUAC